ACCCCCGUGAGAAUGCCCUGACUUCGCCAAUAUCGGUAAGAAGGAGCUGGUAUCAGGCACACCCUACGUUAGCCCACAACACCUUGCUUAGCCACACCCCCACGGGUAUUCAGCAGUAAUAGACAUUAAGCUAUGAGUGAAAACUCGACUUAAUCAACAUCAAAAGGGCCGGUUAAACUCGUGCCAGCCACCGCGGUUAUACGAGAGGCCCAAGUUGAUAAACACCGGCGUAAAGGGUGGUUAGUAACUUUAUAAACUAAGGCCGAACCCCUUCAAGACCGUUAUACGUACCCGAAGGCAGGAAGUCCCCCAACGAAAGUGGCUUUAAUAUAUAUGAACCCACAAAAGCUAAGAUACAAACUGGGAUUAGAUACCCCACUAUGCUUAGCCCUAAACACAGAUAUUUCAUCACAUCAACUAUUCGCCAGGAAACAACGAGCCCCAGCUUAAAACCCAAAGGACUUGGCGGUGCUUUAGACCCCCCUAGAGGAGCCUGUUCUAGAACCGAUACUCCCCGUUCAACCUCACCCUCCCUUGUUCUCCCCGCCUAUAUACCGCCGUCGUCAGCUUACCCUAUGAAGGAUUAAUAGUAAGCAAAAUUGGUAGUAACCCAAAACGUCAGGUCGAGGUGUAGCGUACGAGAGGGAAAGAAAUGGGCUACAUUCACUGACUCAGUAAACACGAACGUUGCACUGAAACAAGCAUCUGAAGGAGGAUUUAGCAGUAAGAGGGGAAUAGAGCGCCCCCCUGAAAAUGGCCCUGAAGCGCGCACACACCGCCCGUCACUCUCCCCAAAAACAUAGACAAAUAAAUAAUAAGCUAAAUAAAUAUAUAGGGGAGGCAAGUCGUAACAUGGUAAGUGUACCGGAAGGUGCACUUGGAAAAAC
rnacentral:ncRNA from 1 species